GGUCGUGACCUAAGUAUAGCCUUUGGUUUGGUGACAUUCACUUAUUUAUUCAUCGGAGUAUUAUUUUACAUCAGCUUUCCCCCUGGCUAAAUCUUGUAUCGAAGAUAAUAUUUUUAACAACUUUAGCAAAAACGACACCCUAACCAUCAUCGCGAGGGUCCUGCUGAUGUUCCAGCUGUUCACAGUAUUCCCAUUGAUCUCUUUCAUGCUCAGAAAAGACAUUUUGAGCAACAUAAAUCAGAUUUUCAAAAAUUCUAAAUUUGGAGAUUUCACUUAUGGAAGAGUGAUGUUUUUGAAUGGGGGACUGUUACUUAUUUGCGUCUUAUUUGCUUGUUUUUUGCCUAAAAUUGGUACAUUAAUCAGGUAUACUGGAGCAAUAAGCGGUCUGGUCUACAUCUUUAUGUUGCCAAAUUUACUAAAAAUGGCAAGUUUAAGGAAAGAGAAAAAUUUGACAACAAUGAAGGCUGCAUGGCAUGUUUUCAUCAUAAUGGCUGGAGCGUUGAACUUAUUGUCGCAGUUCUUUAUUACCGAAUAAAAUUACAUUUUUAAGUUAAAGCGGUUUAGUGACUUAGUGACUAGGAUUAACUUAUUUAUUUAGGCUAAGGAAGGUAUUAAAAUAAAUUAUUUUAUUAACUUAAAA